GAAGGGGAUACGGCCACGAGCUGAAUCGGACGGUGAUUCGAAGGGAGGAGAGGUUGAAGACGAGCGCGUGAAGGACACGCGAGGCGCGUGGGAGGCCGCGAGUGGAAGUGCGAUUGUGCGUGGAUCAGGCGCGUGAGAAACGAACCCCGACCUUGUGUUGGCGCGUGAGGGCGCGUGAGAAGGUCUAAUAGGAAGGAAUUGUGUUGAAAUACUAUUAAACGUAC